CCUACGGGAGGCAGCAGUGGGGGAUAUUGCACAAUGGGGGAAACCCUGAUGCAGCGACGCCGCGUGAGUGAAGAAGUAUUUCGGUAUGUAAAGCUCUAUCAGCAGGGAAGAAAAUGACAGUACCGGACCAAGAAGCCCCGGCUAACUACGUGCCAGCAGCCGCGGUAAUACGUAGGGGGCAAGCGUUAUCCGGAUGUACUGGGUGUAAAGGGAGCGUAGACGGUUAUGUAAGUCUGGAGUGAAAGCCCGGGGCCCAACCCCGGGACUGCUUUGGAAACUGUGUAACUGGAGUGCAGGAAGGGCAGGCGGAAUUCCUGGUGUAGCGGUGAAAUGCGUAGAUAUCAGGAGGAACACCGGCGGCGAAGGCGGCCUGCUGGACUGAAACUGACGUUGAGGCUCGAAAGCGUGGGGAGCAAACAGGAUUAGAUACCCUGGUAGUC
rnacentral:rRNA from 1 species